rnacentral:rRNA from 1 species
GCCGGCUAAAGUACGGAGGAAGGUGGGGAGUGACGUCAAAUCAUCAUGCCCCUUAUGACCUGGGCUACACACGUGCUACAAUGGGCGGUACAAAGGGUCGCGAACCCGCGAGGGGGGAGCCAAUCCCAAAAAGCCGCUCUCAGUUCGGAUUGCAGGCUGCAACUCGCCUGCAUGAAGCCGGAAUCGCUAGUAAUCGCGGAUCAGCAUGCCGCGGUGAAUACGUUCCCGGGCCUU